rnacentral:rRNA from 1 species
GACGAACGCUGGCGGCGUGCCUAAUACAUGCAAGUCGAACGCAGUGGGGACGGGUGAGUAACACGUGGGUAACCUCCCAUCAGAGGGGAUAACACUUGGAAACAGGUGCUAAACCGAUACUGAUGGAUGGACCCGCGGUGCAUUAGCUAGUUGGUGAGGUAACGGCUCACCUAGGCGACGAUCUCUAGCUGUUCUGAGAGUAUGAUCGGCCACAAUGGGACGGAGCAACGGCCCAGACUCCUACGGGAGGCAGCAGUAGGUAAUCUUCGGCAAUGGACGAAAGUCUGACCGAGCAACGCCGGGUGAGUGAAGAAGGUUUUCGGAUCGUAAAACUCUGUUGUUAGAGAAGCGGUAUCUAACCAGAAAGCCACGGCUAACUACGUGCCAGCAGCCGCGGUAAUAC